GCCGGGCGUGGUGGCUCACGCCUGUAAUCCCAACACUUUGGGAGGCCGAGGCGGGUGGAUCACCUGAGAUCAGGAGUCCGAGACCAGCCUGACCAACAUGGUGAAACCCCGUCUCUA
ensembl:misc_RNA Metazoa_SRP Metazoan signal recognition particle RNA